UGCAAAGAGCCAUCACCUUACCCACAAACAAAUCAAAGACUUAUUGGACGUGGGGCUGAAAAUAUCCCUGGAUGUCUCUGGAGCCUGGGAUUCCAUAGAUGCGAGCCCCCGUUGUUUGUAACAUGCUGCAUGUCACACGUUUGUCUCCUGAGGUCAUCCCUUGUUCAUAAAAACAUGACCUUUCCUGCCACGUCUAGGGGGAAUCGAUCCAGCCACAAGGAUGUAGGUCUGGCCUGUUCUAGAAGGCAGCGAGGAAGUCCUCCGGUUUCCACACUUCCUAUCUCACUACCGGUUCCUGGAAAUGGGGCCCGUGUCUCCUCUUUCACUCCUUUAAGCGUGUCAGGAGGGAGAGCCGGGUACUGGCGGGGCGUCUGCCAGAUUCCCACUCCCCGUCUUCGUCUGGGAAUCGCCUCUCUCCACACACACACAAGAAGGGCCCCUGGGCGGCCAUGUUUACACAACCCACCUUCUUCCCGCCCUGAUUGGACUAGAGCAGUCACGUGAGCCGUGGAGCGCCAAUCAGCAGAAUCUGCAACUGAGGGACCACUUCCGGGUGGUCUGCUGCCUUGGAGGAGGCAACAGCAAAAUUGAAAACUCCUACAUUUAUUUGUAGCACUGUUUAUGGUGGUGAAAAUUGGAAACAAGCAAGAUGAUCAAGAAGGGAUUGGUUAGAUAAAUCCCCCUGUGUCUUCCACGACCAUAUCAUCCAAUGAAGAAAUCGAGGCUUCUAGGAAUCAAGGGACAUGUUUGAGAUUGCACAGCGCUUCUUAGAAGGACUUGGGAUUUCAACUCUUGAGUCCUACACCUUUGAAUGCCACUCUGCAACUCUAUACCGCCUCCCUGCCUCCUCAAGGCGCUCAUAACGAGUGAGACGUGCACCAUCUGGGGGAUGGUCAUGAUGGAGACUCAGA